AGAGUUUGAUCCUGGCUCAGGAUGAACGCUGGCGGCGUGCCUAACACAUGCAAGUCGAACGAAGCAUGACCCUUGAGGCCUUCGGGCGGAAGGGGCCAUGACUUAGUGGCGGACGGGUGAGUAACGCGUGGGUAACCUGCCCUAUACUGGGGGAUAACAGCUAGAAAUGGCUGCUAAUACCGCAUGAGCGCACAGUCCCGCAUGGGACAGUGCGGAAAACUCCGGUGGUAUAGGAUGGACCCGCGUCCGAUCAGCUGGUUGGUGGGGUAACGGCCCACCAAGGCGACGAUCGGUAGCCGACCUGAGAGGGUGACCGGCCACAUUGGGACUGAGACACGGCCCAAAUUCCUACGGGAGGCAGCAGUGGGGGAUAUUGCACAAUGGGGGGAACCCUGAUGCAGCGACGCCGCGUGAGUGAAGGAGUACUCCGGUAUGUAAAGCUCUAUCAGCAGGGAAGAACAAAGACGGUACCUGACCAAGAAGCCCCGGCUAACUACGUG
rnacentral:rRNA from 1 species